UUUGAUCAUGGCUCAGGACGAACGCUGGCGGCGUGCCUAAUACAUGCAAGUCGAACGCUUUUUCUUUCACCGGAGCUUGCUCCACCGAAAGAAAAAGAGUGGCGAACGGGUGAGUAACACGUGGGUAACCUGCCCAUCAGAAGGGGAUAACACUUGGAAACAGGUGCUAAUACCGUAUAACACUAUUUUCCGCAUGGAAGAAAGUUGAAAGGCGCUUUUGCGUCACUGAUGGAUGGACCCGCGGUGCAUUAGCUAGUUGGUGAGGUAACGGCUCACCAAGGCCACGAUGCAUAGCCGACCUGAGAGGGUGAUCGGCCACACUGGGACUGAGACACGGCCCAGACUCCUACGGGAGGCAGCAGUAGGGAAUCUUCGGCAAUGGACGAAAGUCUGACCGAGCAACGCCGCGUGAGUGAAGAAGGUUUUCGGAUCGUAAAACUCUGUUGUUAGAGAAGAACAAGGAUGAGAGUAGAACGUUCAUCCCUGACGGUAUCUAACC
rnacentral:rRNA from 1 species